rnacentral:rRNA from 1 species
AGCGAACGCUGGCGGCAGGCUUAACACAUGCAAGUCGAGCGGGCACUUUCGGGUGUCAGCGGCGGACGGGUGCGUAGCGCGUGGGAACGUGCCCUCUGGUUCGGAAUAACUCAGGGAAACUUGAGCUAAUACCGGAUACGCCCUUUUGGGGAAAGGCUUGCUGCCGGAGGAUCGGCCCGCGUCUGAUUAGCUAGUUGGUGAGGUAACGGCUCACCAAGGCGACGAUCAGUAGCUGGUCUGAGAGGAUGAUCAGCCACACUGGGACUGAGACACGGCCCAGACUCCUACGGGAGGCAGCAGUGGGGAAUAUUGGACAAUGGGCGCAAGCCUGAUCCAGCCAUGCCGCGUGAGUGAUGAAGGCCUUAGGGUUGUAAAGCUCUUUUAUCCGGGACGAUAAUGACGGUACCGGAGGAAUAAGCCCCGGCUAACUUCGUG